CCUACGGGUGGCAGCAGUGAGGAAUAUUGGUCAAUGGACGAGAGUCUGAACCAGCCAAGUAGCGUGAAGGAUGACUGCCCUAUGGGUUGUAAACUUCUUUUAUAAAGGAAUAAAACGAGGCACGUGUGCCUUUUUGCAUGUACUUUAUGAAUAAGGAUCGGCUAACUCCGUGCCAGCAGCCGCGGUAAUACGGAGGAGCCGAGCGUUAUCCGGAUUUAUUGGGUUUAAAGGGAGCGUAGAUGGGUUGUUAAGUCAGUUGUGAAAGUUUGCGGCUCAACCGUAAAAUUGCAAUUGAUACUGGCAGUCGUGAGUACAGUUGAGGUAGGCGGAAUUCGUGGUGUAGCGGUGAAAUGCUUAGAUAGCACGAAGAACCCCGAUUGCGAAGGCAGCUUACUAAACUGUGACUGACAUUGAUGCUCGAAAGUGUGGGUAUCAAACAGGAUUAGAUACCCUAGUAGUC
rnacentral:rRNA from 1 species